GACGAACGCUGGCGGCGUGCCUAAUACAUGCAAGUUGAGCGCUGAAGGUUGGUACUUGUACCAACUGGAUGAGCAGCGAACGGGUGAGUAACGCGUGGGGAAUCUGCCUUUGAGCGGGGGACAACAUUUGGAAACGAAUGCUAAUACCGCAUAAAAACUUUAAACACAAGUUUUAAGUUUGAAAGAUGCAAUUGCAUCACUCAAAGAUGAUCCCGCGUUGUAUUAGCUAGUUGGUGAGGUAAAGGCUCACCAAGGCGAUGAUACAUAGCCGACCUGAGAGGGUGAUCGGCCACAUUGGGACUGAGACACGGCCCAAACUCCUACGGGAGGCAGCAGUAGGGAAUCUUCGGCAAUGGACGAAAGUCUGAUCGAGCAACGCCGCGUGAGUGAAGAAGGUUUUCGGAUCGUAAAACUCUGUUGGUAGAGAAGAACGUUGGUGAGAGUGGAAAGCUCAUCAAGUGACGGUAACUACCCAGAAAGGGACGGCUAACUACGUG
rnacentral:rRNA from 1 species